rnacentral:rRNA from 1 species
GAUGAACGCUAGCUACAGGCUUAACACAUGCAAGUCGAGGGGCAGCAUUAUCGAAGCUUGCUUUGAUAGAUGGCGACCGGCGCACGGGUGAGUAACGCGUAUCCAACCUUCCCCAUAGUCAGGAAUAGCCCGGCGAAAGUCGAAUUAAUGCCUGAUGUUUUCCACGGACGGCAUCCGAUGUGGAACAAAGAUUCAUCGCUAUGGGAUGGGGAUGCGUCUGAUUAGCUUGUUGGCGGGGUAACGGCCCACCAAGGCAACGAUCAUAGGGGUUCUGAGAGGAAGGUCCCCCACAUUGGAACUGAGACACGGUCCAAACUCCUACGGGAGGCAGCAGUGAGGAAUAUUGGUCAAUGGGCGGAAGCCUGACCAGCCAAGUAGCGUGAGGGAUGACUAGCCCUAUGGGUUGUAAACCUC